UACGUAGGGUGCGAGCGUUAAUCGGAAUUACUGGGCGUAAAGCGUGCGCAGGCGGUUUUGUAAGUCAGAUGUGAAAUCCCCGGGCUUAACCUGGGAACUGCGUUUGAAACUACAAGGCUAGAGUGUGGCAGAGGGGGGUAGAAUUCCACGUGUAGCAGUGAAAUGCGUAGAGAUGUGGAGGAACACCGAUGGCGAAGGCAGCCCCCUGGGCCGAUACUGACGCUCAGGCACGAAAGCGUGGGGAGCAAACAGG
rnacentral:rRNA from 1 species